rnacentral:lncRNA from 1 species
AAUAAAGAAAAACUGUUUAUAACUGUUGCACAAACAAUAAAAUAUCAACACUAACAAAAGUCACCACUGAACUAUAUCUAUAAAACGGUUACACCUAACACCAUACAUGGAAUACAACAAUAACACAAUAAUUAGUAAAUGAUAUUAUUUAUAACAAAUCGAUUUAGAAAAUCGAUUAACAAAAUAUUUAACAUGGUAACAUCUACUCGGAACGCGAGUCUAUCUGUCAAAUCAAUACGUCAUUCAAAUUGUUUUCGUGCCGGUUGUUAUGCGUAGAGUUGAAUUUAUUCCUCCGUAUUUGCUUCUGAUAGUUACAAUUUGCGUAAAAACUGUCGAGCUAAUCGUUUUCGUGCCUCCAGUGGUUUUUUUUUAGAUAUUGGACUCUUUCUUAAUGAUAAGUGAGCACAUUGACUCGUGAGCAUUGGACUCUUGUUUUUAGUGAUAUUGUUGUUUUACUCCGGAAAAAUGUCUGCACCUGGUAGAAGUCGAGUAAACUACUCUUUGUCUCGCCAGUGUGUUAAUUUCUCUUUACGUAUAGGGCCUAAUCUUCGUAGACGUUAAAUUGAAGAAAUAGAUGAACCAAUGCUUAUCCUUCUAAACACCUACAUUGAUAUCUUCUGAUGAUAUCCUGUGUGUGAAAUGUUUUGUAUUAUUACAAAACCAGACAGCAUCUAACUCAAAUCUGUCACUUGUAUCCCCUGCUCGUGGACACCUAAACAUAUGCUACGCAUGUGGCUUGUCAACAGCAAGUCGCAGAACUCAUAGAGUCAGUCAAGAUAGUUCCUCAAAGGAAUGUUAUACUAAGAUGGACACCAGUACAUCACGUGUUGCAUUUGGAACGAGUUUGUGUUCCUUGUUGGGCGGCUGCAUCAAGACAAGUCCGGAGGCAACCCGUUGCUGGCAGUAGCCAACACACUGUGGAGUCUGCACCGGAGACUGGUAUCAUGGAUGGAAACAUAAUUACAGAUAUGAUGAUUCCUGUACCACCACCACUGCCACCGCUUUAAUGAUAUAAGCGCUCCAGCACAAUUUCUAGACAACAUAUUCCUUGAAGAAUAAAUGUCUAUUAUUUUAA